rfam:Cronobacter sakazakii ATCC BAA-894, complete genome.
GGGUGCCUGAGGCUUUCUGGUUUCAGGCAUUAUGCAGGUUCUGGAAAGAUGAAGGCCCCGAGUUAAUUACCUUAACCCGAGGCCGACACAUGAACCCGAACAGUUCAUAUGUUAGCCUCUUACUCGCCUUUCGGCAAGGAGAAUGGCUAUGAAG